rnacentral:rRNA from 1 species
UGGGGAAUAUUGCGCAAUGGGGGGAACCCUGACGCAGCCAUGCCGCGUGAAUGAAGAAGGCCUUAGGGUUGUAAAGUUCUUUCGGUAUUGAGGAAGGUUGAUGUGUUAAUAGCACAUCAAAUUGACGUUAAAUACAGAAGAAGCACCGGCUAACUCCGUGCCAGCAGCCGCGGUAAUACGGAGGGUGCGAGCGUUAAUCGGAAUAACUGGGCGUAAAGGGCACGCAGGCGGUUAUUUAAGUGAGGUGUGAAAGCCCCGGGCUUAACCUGGGAAUUGCAUUUCAGACUGGGUAACUAGAGUACUUUAGGGAGGGGUAGAAUUCCACGUGUAGCGGUGAAAUGCGUAGAGAUGUGGAGGAAUACCGAAGGCGAAGGCAGCCCCUUGGGAAUGUACUGACGCUCAUGUGCGAAAGCGUGGGGAGCAAAUAGGAUUAGAUACCCUGGUAGUCCACGCUGUAAACGCUGUCGAUUUGGGGGUUGGGGUUUAACUCUGGCGCCCGUAGCUAACGUGAUAAAUCGACCGCCUGGGGAGUACGGCCGCAAGGUUA